AAUUGAAUUCAGUCAUGCUCUCUUGGCUACAGCACAGAACUGCUUAUGGAAGCACGUCUCCUAUUUUAAGAGCAGAGUCAGGUCCUGCUCGAUUUGGCCUUUCUUCUGAAGAGUUCAUUAUUGUACCUUCUCUCAGGGAGCAGAAGUGGCACUUGGUUUGAACUGUAGCAUCGUUUUUAUUUUGUGAUUAUUUAUUUAUUUAUUUUUUCAGAGGUCCAUUUCUCCAGUUGCACGAUCGAUCGGUGUACUAGUCUAGGACUUACAAAAGCCUGGUGGCCACAUUUUUACCUGGAAGGCCUAUGCUGAACUUCCACUCUUUCAGACCACAGAUUCACCAAGUUAGUGGCCGCAUAGAGCUGUUCUGGAUGUCAUAGGGAACUACAGCAGAAGAUGCUUUUCAUCCAUCCAGAGGCAGACAUGCCGGUUGAAAAGAAAGGAGCAUUGAUAACCAGCAUACGGGAGAAUGCCUGUCUGCUAGAAACAGAGCAGUAAGAAAAGCAGCUGUUUGGACAAUUGACAGAUGAAAACAUCCUACUGCUCUAUGAAAUCCCCCGAUCCUUGUUUGCGUCCAUCACAACGACACACCAUUGCUCCUGGAGCCAGUUAGAGCAGCGACAUCAACUUCACUAAACUGAAAAUCCCUUGUGAGUCUUGUGAUCUAGACUAAUUUAACCUACCUGCUUAUGUAUUUGCUGAGCCCAUAACGAUGGUGUUUGAGCAUAUAGGAUGAGAUUGGGGCCAUCUUGAUGUGAAUGGCUUCGUUAGA